AUCCAGCUGACGGGUCCCGAAUAGGACGAAACGCGCGUCCUGGAU
rfam:Schistosoma rodhaini strain Burundi genome assembly, scaffold: SROB_scaffold0001183